UACGUAGGGCGCAAGCGUUGUCCGGAAUUAUUGGGCGUAAAGAGCUCGUAGGCGGUUUGUCGCGUCUGUCGUGAAAGCUUGGGGCUUAACCCCAAGUCUGCGGUGGAUACGGGCAGACUAGAGUGUGGUAGGGGAGACUGGAAUUCCUGGUGUAGCGGUGAAAUGCGCAGAUAUCAGGAGGAACACCGAUGGCGAAGGCAGGUCUCUGGGCCACUACUGACGCUGAGAAGCGAAAGCAUGGGGAGCGAACAGG
rnacentral:rRNA from 1 species